UACGUAGGGUGCAAGCGUUGUCCGGAAUUAUUGGGCGUAAAGGGCUCGUAGGCGGUUUGUCGCGUCGGGAGUGAAAAACCUACAGCUUAACUGUGGGCUUGCUUUCGAUACGGGCAGACUAGAGGUAUGCAGGGGAGAACGGAAUUCCUGGUGUAGCGGUGAAAUGCGCAGAUAUCAGGAGGAACACCGGUGGCGAAGGCGGUUCUCUGGGCAUGAUCUGACGCUGAGGAGCGAAAGUGUGGGGAGCGAACAGG
rnacentral:rRNA from 1 species